rnacentral:sRNA from 1 species
UCAUUCCAGGUUAUCAGGACAGGUACAAUACAGGUAGCAACAGUGUGAACUUUCCCCAGACCACUCCAUCACUGUGUUGCAACUUUGAACUGAAAGGGACCAUCUGUACCAAUUUGAAGAU